GCAAAGUCUUCCUCGCGGGUUAUUUCAAUAUCAGUCUGCAGGAAAGGAGGCAAAUGCUUCUGGGACUGAGGUGAGUUCCAGUCCCGCCUUAGGCAUGAAAGCUGGAUGACUUUGGGCCAAUCACCAGGAGACGUUGAGUUCUACUCCCGCCUUAGACAUGAAAGCCAACUGGGUGACUUUGAGCCAAUCACCAGGCCUUCAGAACCUCAACCCCAGCUAAAAAAAAAAGGACUUUGUUGUGUCUCCAACCGGGCGUUUUAUCAGACUCAGAGUCCGAUAAUGAAGAUGAACGGCCUGUCAUGACUCCAGCCCCCAGCCCUGGCCCCAUGCCUGGAGAGGAUUCAAGGAGUGAAAGGAGAAGCCCAAUAAACCUCACUCAUACAACGUGUGUUCCUUUGGCUCAGCCUUCAGAGCAGGAAGCCAGCCAGGGGGUGUAAUUACCCGGGCCUACUCCCUCUGACCCCUCCAUUUCCCAGACGCUGACAGCAGAUCCAGCUGAAGACAAUUCAGCAUGGGAGGACCCUCGCUUCCAGAGAUCUGAGAGGCGACGCCAGCAGAAGGGAGGGUGGGGCAGGCCUGGAUAAAUGCUGAGUCAUGGAGCCACACCCCACAGCCCAUAUAAAGGACCUGCUUUUGGCAUUCGAGUCAAGCAAAGUCUUAGCUAGUUUGCUGAUAUUGGACCCUAUCGCUGAAGUCACAACUUGGACUCCUGCCUGCCCUGAUAAACCUCGAAGGAACUUGGCAAGCUGCAGAGGCUUCAUUGCCAAGUUUGUAAUGGACUUCCUUGACUCGUUCGUCGGAGUGGGGGUGGGACAAGACAGACUUUUUCU